rnacentral:rRNA from 1 species
GAUGAACGCUGGCGGCGUGCCUAAUACAUGCAAGUCGAGCGAACAGAUGAGGAGCUUGCUCCUCUGACGUUAGCGGCGGACGGGUGAGUAACACGUGGAUAACCUACCUAUAAUACUGGGAUAACUUCGGGAAACCGGAGCUAAUACCGGAUAAUAUAUUGAACCGCAUGGUUCAAUAGUGAAAGACGGUUUUGCUGUCACUUAUAGAUGGAUCCGCGCCGCAUUAGCUAGUUGGUAAGGUAACGGCUUACCAAGGCGACGAUGCGUAGCCGACCUGAGAGGGUGAUCGGCCACACUGGAACUGAGACACGGUCCAGACUCCUACGGGAGGCAGCAGUAGGGAAUCUUCCGCAAUGGGCGAAAGCUUGACGGAGCAACGCCGCGUGAGUGAUGAAGGUCUUCGGAUCGUAAAACUCUGUUAUUAGGGAAGAACAAAUGUGUAAGUAACUAUGCACGUCUUGACGGUACCUAAUCAGAAAGCCACGGCUAACUACGUG